rnacentral:lncRNA from 1 species
AUGCACCCACCCCUCCACCCACCUACCCUGUCCCCUUCUCGUGCGUGCUGCCAGUCCUGUGCUCUGGGAUCACUGCCAGAGGGCUUUGGAUCACUGACGGCCAAGACACCGUGUUCACACCGCCCCAAUGGCCCUCAUCCAGCAGCACACAGUGCAGGGGAUGCAUUAUUUAUCAGGCCCAGAGCUCCGGGCCCUGCUCACACUUUGCAAUGGCAAGGCGGCGAGGUGAGGACAAGGCCUCAGCCCCAGCGCCACUUCCUCAUGUUUCAAGCAACCUGCCAGGAAGGCAAGAAGAGGAGAGUAGAGUGUCUCCAUGCAGAACCCUCCUCCAGCACAACACCAUGCCCAGGGCUGAGCGGUGCACUUGGGGCCAGCUGCCCUGAGAACCAGGACCUUAGGAGCCCAGCGAAGGGGUGAGGAAAUCAGCCAGACCUCGGGUAGGAUCAGCCCGUGAGAACACGGCCUUUAAUCCAACUGUGAUAAUCUGAACAGGGAUUAACCAGGUCCAGCUGGAGUUCAGCUCCCACUCCCCGUUUAUUUUUGGCAGGAGGGUGUGAAGGGAUCUCUGCUGCUCCAGUGCCUCGGCCAGCAGCAGCACAACAGACCUCGUUGGGCCUUCCUGCCCCUUAUGGCUUUCCCACCACCUCUUGUUCCCAGGUCCCCUCUGCACUUCUCUGAGGCCUCAGAGCCAGGACCAUGAGAUCACGGUGCAGAAACUCAGCAGAGCCACCUUCCAGCAGAGUUCCCAAACGUUCCGUUUUUAGGAUGAGUUCUGCAACAUUGAGUGCCAUUUUUUUCUGCAACGGCAUAGCAAGCUGUCUUUUCGUUUCCACCCAGAAAAAAAAACCUAAAUUUCUGACCCUCAGCAUGCAAAGAAAACAAUGUAAAAUUGUCUUUGAGAAAGUUCUUCCCUAGUAUUUCUUGGUUUAACCUAAAUUUUCAGUGGGGUAAAUCUACCUGAGGGAAUACCUUUUGUGAGUCUUUCACGCAGCAAUAUUUGACAGAUUUGAAAAGCUACAGGGCUUGAGGAGCAAAACAAUUGUUCAUUUCAUAUGUCCCCUUUUUAUUUUCUCCAUUUAGUGCUCACACGUGGUGGGUCUGGAUACAGCGCUGCAGGCAGCUUCACUUCAGGGUCUCACUGCUGCAGCAUCUGGAUUUCUUUAAGUGAAGCUAUCAGUGAAGGCUUGCUGGGUUUGCAAAGCUACGAUAAUGUUCCUAUUAUUCUUAGAUACUCUAAAAGCUUUUCUUUUAAAAUAAAAUAUUUGGGGGACCAAAACUUCA